UGGGGAAUAUUGCACAAUGGGCGCAAGCCUGAUGCAGCCAUGCCGCGUGUGUGAAGAAGGCCUUCGGGUUGUAAAGCACUUUCAGCGGGGAGGAAGGGAGUAAAGUUAAUACCUUUGCUCAUUGACGUUACCCGCAGAAGAAGCACCGGCUAACUCCGUGCCAGCAGCCGCGGUAAUACGGAGGGUGCAAGCGUUAAUCGGAAUUACUGGGCGUAAAGCGCACGCAGGCGGUUUGUUAAGUCAGAUGUGAAAUCCUCGGGCUAAACCUGGGAACUGCAUCUGAUACUGGCAAGCUUGAGUCUCGUAGAGGGGGGUAGAAUUCCAGGUGUAGCGGUGAAAUGCGUAGAGAUCUGGAGGAAUACCGGUGGCGAAGGCGGCCCCCUGGACGAAGACUGACGCUCAGGUGCGAAAGCGUGGGGAGCAAACAGG
rnacentral:rRNA from 1 species